rnacentral:rRNA from 1 species
CCUACGUGAGGCAGCACUGAGGAAUAUUGGUCAAUGGGCGCGAGCCUGAACCAGCCAAGUAGCGUGAAGGAUGACUGCCCUACGGGUUGUAAACUUCUUUUAUAAAGGAAUAAAGUGAGGCACGUGUGCCUUUUUGUAUGUACUUUAUGAAUAAGGAUCGGCUAACUCCGUGCCAGCAGCCGCGGUAAUACGGAGGAUCCGAGCGUUAUCCGGAUUUAUUGGGUUUAAAGGGAGCGUAGAUGGGUUGUUAAGUCAGUUGUGAAAGUUUGCGGCUCAACCGUAAAAUUGCAAUUGAUACUGGCAGUCUUGAGUACAGUUGAGGUAGGCGGAAUUCGUGGUGUAGCGGUGAAAUGCUUAGAUAUCACGAAGAACUCCGAUUGCGAAGGCAGCUUACUAAACUGCCACUGACAUUGAUGCUCGAAAGUGUGGGUAUCAAACAGGAUUAGAUACCCUAGUAGUC